rnacentral:lncRNA from 1 species
AGCAGAGAUCCACCUCCGUACAACCUCCUGGAACCUGAAGCCCUCAGAGCUCUGCUCCUAGGGGCUUGCAAUAUGCCAGCUCCUGGCCAGGGAACAUCCAUCCGAAAGGAGCCCGUGGGCACCCCUCUCUGAAGGGUUCAGAACGGGGAUCUGAUAAGCACCAGCUCUGGGGUUCCACAGCUGUCUUAGCCCUUAACACAGACACCCCCUCCAGGGGCAAGAGGCAUUCCAGCGGGACUAUUAGCCAAGUGGCAGUGCCUACAGCCCUCCAACGGACACCAAAAUCUAGUGCAGGGGACUCCUAACAGUGGGCCCUGAGGCCAGUGAUGGGCAACCUGCAGGACGGAGGACAAGAUGGCUCCAACUCCAACAAAGCUAAGAAGCCUAACUCUUCUCCUGUCCACCUCUCCAGUGCCACCCUCUCCCUUACCAUGCUGCUGAAUCUUGCCCCUUCCCCUAAAGAAUUGCAGGAGACUGGGCAAGGAUCUGGUGCCACCCUCUCCCAGAGCUCUCCCCAGGUCCUGGCGCUGACUCAGCUCAUGGUUGCUUCAUGCUGCCUGCUGCAGGCAUACUCCUAGCUCUUGACUCCGCAGCAGCAGCCCGGCCACUUGAAAGCCUGCAGGAUCCCAGAAUGCC